CAACCAAUCGGAAAACCCCUUCAAGUGACAAGCAGCAACCCUCUUGGCAUUACACGAGUCGACGGGCGGGAUAUCCGCAAUAGCUAAUAACAUGGCGAAGACUUACGAUUACUUGUUCAAACUACUUUUAAUCGGCGAUUCAGGCGUCGGAAAGACAUGUGUGCUAUUCCGAUUUUCAGAGGAUGCCUUCAACUCAACGUUUAUCUCCACGAUAGGUAUUGACUUCAAAAUAAGAACAAUAGAACUAGAUGGGAAAAAGAUCAAGCUACAAAUAUGGGAUACGGCAGGACAGGAGAGAUUCCGAACCAUUACAACGGCCUACUAUAGGGGGGGCCAUGGUGAGUAGCCUGGCAUCAUGUUAGUAUUUGACAUCACCAAUGAGAAGUCCUUCGACAACAUCAAGAACUGGAUACGGAACAUCGAAGAGCAUGCCUCGGCAGACGUGGAGAAGAUGGUCCUUGGGAACAAGUGUGACCGUCAACGACAAGCGACAGGUGUCCAAGGAACGGGAGAGAAGCUGGCACUGGAGUACGGUAUCAAGUUCAUGGAGACCAGUGCAAAGGCCAACAUUAACGUGGAGAACGCCUUUUUGACCCUUGCCAGGGACAUCAAGGCUAAAAUGGAUAAAAAGCUGGAGGGCAACAACCCCCAGGGAAGCAACCAAGGGGUAAAGUUUACAGAGCAGCCCAAGAAGACCAGCCUUUUCCGCUGUACACUCCUGUGAGGAGAGAGACAGGCGGACCGCUGUUGGAAAAAAAAAGCCACCAUCGCCUUAACUGUGUCCCGACAGGACUGGACAGAGCAUGCACAGAUCCUUCACCUCACCCCUCUCUCCCAGUUCUGGUUUUUCCCGCCGCUGGUAUCCUUGCAACAACAAAGAAAUCCCCCCACUUUCUCUUCCAUAGUCAAUUGAAAAACAUGCUUAUGGCCUCAAACAGAGUACCUCAUAAAAUCUGAGUACCAUGUUUACAGAAACAUUCAUAACAAAACGUUUUUUCUCACAGUGGCCAUCCCUCGACACUCGUCCUUGAUUGGUUACCUGAACAAAUGAUUUGAUUCUUAACUCCCUCUGUCCUGAGGCCAAAGCCCCACCUCCACAACUCUGCAGCCCCAGGUUUCAUUGUUCAAUUACUCAGGGAAUCCUUCCAAUUAUAUUUCCAAAAAGAUAGUUUUGCUGAUUAUUUUUACAGAUAGUUACUGAUCAAAUGUAUACAUUUUGUUACUCUUUAACAAACUGAAUCGUCUCUGGCAUUUAAAGGCUAUCCAUUUAACAGUGUUAUUUGACACACGGAAUUGCGUAUAUAUGCAUUUUCAGUAGUUGCCGAACUCUUGCCGGCAUACACGACUCUGAAGUUCAACCCUUUUUCAGUCUCAUCAGCUUCAUUACCCACAUUUUCUUUUCCUUUUUGGGUAAUGCUGACUCUUGAAGCUGCUUAUGCUAAGAUGCUAUUUCUUCACUAAUCUGUUUCACUUUCUUGAGGCACAACUGACCCAGUUGAAUGGCCUUGGACUUUGGAAGUGGUGUUGGUUAAAGCUCACUGAAAAGGAUAAUAUGGAGUAAAUACAGAUUGGCCAUUUGUUUCUUAAAACCAUACCAUCAAGGACGUAAACUUCUUGACAAACUGACAAACCAGGUUGCGAUGUUCCUAGAAAUCCUUGUAAUUUCUCUUAAUAGAAAUGGCAAUGGAUAUUCUAGGCUAGUUAGGCUUCUUUCCAUCAAUUUUUAAUGAUUUGAUUUUAAUGAUUUGGAAAACUGACAUCAUCAUUCUGACAACAUGCUGACGUUGUAACACUGAUCGUAAGCAGUGUCUCUACAUCUCCCAAGAAGCAGUCACUGAAACAAUGCACUUUCUGCUUAUCGUCUAUCCAUUUAUUCUUAUGCCUGAUUGGCAUUUAUUCUCAGUAUCAGGUUAACAGGUAUUUCCUUCAUAGGAUUCUAAACUUCAUAUUCAUUUCUUCUGUAAAUAUAUAUAUGUAUGUAUGGCAUAUGUGAUCAAGUUAAGGGUGCAUUCACUUAAUGUACAUACUGACUAGACUAUACAUAGGUUUGAAUGUCGGUUAUAAUGACCCCAAUGUUUGUAUAUCUACAGCUGAUACCUUCAUCUUUAUUUUUGUCUUCGGCCAUCAUUUACAGUCUAAAUUAGUCAGUGUGCCAGUGUGUCUUUCUCAUCGCACAUUACAUUUUAUUUUAUUUUUCAAUGCCACUAUGUAUACAUUUUCAGUUGUAAUGCUGAACCAUUCCACAUUUAGAGGGAACUAGAAGUUUGGUCACUGUUAUGAGAGGCACAUGUAUUCAUUGUCUAUCGUCAAUAUUUAGGUAAAAUUCUAAGCAUCUUUUUUUUAUUUGAUUCCUUUUGUUUAAGGUAUUCAGAAAUGCAAAGGAGACACGAUUAGUUUGAGGUUGAGGAUUGUCCAUGCACUUCAACUGUUGGACAAGCGACACUGAUAUGAAAUGCGAUACCCAAGUGUAACACCAGGGGGCCAUAUAGGCUAUGUUGCAGUGGAGGCUUUCUGGUGAACUUGAUUUGUAUGUUGAAUACAUUUAUAUUUCUUCCAGUUCAUAGUUUUAACGAGGGGAACUUGUUUUCCGGCCCUUGGAAGGUGGGCUGUACUGUAGCAGUAUUUAUGAAGUAAACAAAGUGCCCUUUGAUUUCCUAAUGCACUUUUUCAAUCUUUCCUUCUGUACAACAUGUCUUUGGAGAAGGGCUUCUGAGCACUUGGAGACGUGUUUGUUCCAAAAUGGGAUGCACAGAAUCCUCACCAUCUUUCACUCUUCUUCUUUCCGUUCUUUUCGCUUUGUCACCGAGUAUGCGUUUUUACCCUCCCCAGGGUGGUGGGAGGGGCCUCACAAACUGGCUCCCUUUUAUCCUCAUCUGAGGCCUCGUUCUGAAAAAAAUAUGAAAUUAGCAAAUAGAUUUGGAUCCAUAUUUAGAAUAUAAUAUUUAUGUUUUUUCGGUUUAGGUCCACCCCUUUUUUUUUAUUCUCAAAACAUUCCUCCAAAAAAAAUCCCUAAUCUAUAAUUAUUAUUUUUUUGGUACGUAUAGGCCUACAUGCACAUUGAUUUCCAGUGAGUUUGAGAGUUAAUAGAAAAGCGAUAAGACUUUCCAUCUCUUGUGUCACAUUCCCAUUUUGCUUGUCAUAACCUCAAUACGACGCUGACCAAGUCAUCAGAAUUAUGCAUCUUGUAUGUUCCUGAUUAAUUCACAUUACUAUUGAUAUUAUAUUAAAGAAUUUCACUGAUUUUAGAAAUGUUCAGAGGGGCUUAGUUAUAGAGCCAUUUUUGUCUUUUAUUUGCUUUGUUCCGCUUUAUUUUCUGCUUUAAGAGUUUGUUUGGAGCUCAAGUCAUGAUAUCCCUAGUACCCUACAAUUAUAUUGAACUCUGUAUUUCAGCACUUUACACAAUACCAAAAUGUAAUGGUAACCCUGUUACCAGAAGAAAACAACUAUUUGAACUCUUGGAAAUGCCUCUGGAACAGGUUGAGGGUAUUUUGUAUUGGAGCUUUAAAAGGUAUAUAUUACAUGAUAAAUCUGCCACAUUGAUGUUGACCAAUAGCAUUCCAUGGAUGAAAUUCAAAUUAAAUACGAUUCCAUAGGGAAGAAUUUCCUUUUUUUCCCCUCAACAAUUGUAAAUAAGAUUUUCAGUGAUUGUACUUUCAUAAAACAUCUUACUGAAUUGAUCUUCACCUCUGUGGAUAUGUGUACUUUUGAUGAUUUAUUAAAAAAAAAGAGAUUCUUUUAA